UACAGAGGGGGCAAGCGUUAUUCGGAAUUAUUGGGCGUAAAGGGCGCGUAGGCGGCCUGACAAGUGGAAGGUGAAAUCCCUCGGCUUAACCGAGGAACUGCCCUCCAAACUGUUUGGCUUGAGUCCGGGAGAGGUGAGUGGAAUUCCCAGUGUAGCGGUGAAAUGCGUAGAUAUUGGGAGGAACACCAGUGGCGAAGGCGGCUCACUGGACCGGAACUGACGCUGAUGCGCGAAAGCGUGGGGAUCAAACAGG
rnacentral:rRNA from 1 species